rnacentral:rRNA from 1 species
GAUCCUGGCUCAGGAUGAACGCUGGCGGCGUGCCUAACACAUGCAAGUCGAGCGAUUCUCUUCGGAGAAGAGCGGCGGACGGGUGAGUAACGCGUGGGUAACCUGCCCUGUACACACGGAUAACAUACCGAAAGGUAUGCUAAUACGGGAUAACAUAAGAAAUUCGCAUGUUUUUCUUAUCAAAGCUCCGGCGGUACAGGAUGGACCCGCGUCUGAUUAGCUAGUUGGUGAGGUAACGGCUCACCAAGGCGACGAUCAGUAGCCGACCUGAGAGGGUGAUCGGCCACAUUGGAACUGAGACACGGUCCAAACUCCUACGGGAGGCAGCAGUGGGGAAUAUUGCACAAUGGGCGAAAGCCUGAUGCAGCAACGCCGCGUGAGCGAUGAAGGCCUUCGGGUCGUAAAGCUCUGUCCUCAAGGAAGAUAAUGACGGUACUUGAGGAGGAAGCCCCGGCUAACUACGUGCCAGCAGCCGCGGUAAUACGUAGGGGGCUAGCGUUAUCCGGAUUUACUGGGCGUAAAGGGUGCGUAGGCGGUCUUUUAAGUCAGGAGUGAAAGGCUACGGCUCAACCGUAGUAAGCUCUUGAAACUGGAGGACUUGAGUGCAGGAGAGGAGAGUGGAAUUCCUAGUGUAGCGGUGAAAUGCGUAGAUAUUAGGAGGAACACCAGUAGCGAAGGCGGCUCUCUGGACUGUAACUGACGCUGAGGCACGAAAGCGUGGGGAGCAAACAGGAUUAGAUACCCUGGUAGUCCACGC